CAGUUUGUCAAACCUUGCCUUUUGUCAGUGUCUAAAGAUCGAGAGUCUUGUGGGAGAACUUCAGCUGCCCUAUUCCCAGCUAAUAACAAAAGCACGGUGGCCAUCAAAGACACGUUUGUGCAAAUGGUGAGACUUUGCAGUAUAGAAUGAAGAAGCGUUAAUCAUGCCCUAUCUUGUACCAACUGCAGUGAGUGCGGUUCAUGAGGACAUAGCUGCAAGGAGUUUGCUCAGCACUUUCUUGAGAACUGCCCUUCUCGGAGUGCACUGAGCUGAGUUCUGCCUGGACGCCUUUGAAGAGGGAAUUUUUCGCCUUGGUGGAAAGCCAAAGGACCAAAACCCCUGCAUCGACUGAAGAUUCUGUCUGGAGCAGGAUCUGCAGCGAGGGACACACUGGACUGCUGGAGAGCAUCCAGAUUGCCACAGUGAAAGUCUUCAGAGGACAGCAGAAGCCUUUGGACAUGCUAAAUACGUACCAAAUCUUGGUAGCACCGAGCAGCAUGGUAUGAUAGACAGAGCAGCCACUCCACAACCAGCAAGUGGCGUAAUCUUACCUAAUAUUUAAAUAGUUUUUCACUGGAAAAGGAGGUACUAUAUAUACACAUACACAGAAGCUGUGAUGCACUCCAAGGAACAACUGCUCGUCAACACCUGGGUGUGAAACAGUAGCACCCACUGUGCCCGUGGUUGGCUUUCUGUAGAGCGCACUUGUCACAUCCACCUUGCAAAGCACUAGAUGAUCAAUGCAACGUACAGAAUGCCUCGUGCUACUGGAUAACGUCAAUGUAAAGGGAAGCAGGAAAAAAAAGCUACUCAGAAACAUGUUCAGGCUGGAGACCAGCUAAUUUCCCCAUCACACAGCAAGUGAGUUGCAGCCCCUUUGAUCCUUUUGCUGCAAGAAGAUGAAUACAGAUCACGAGGGCCAUUUAGGCUUUGCCUUCACAAAUUAUUUAAACUGGUCUAAAGUCAUGCUGUUGUCUAAAGGUUGUGUGUUCCUGUCUCCUCCAUUUUUCUGCUGUGGAAGUCACGCAUACGAGCAGCCAGUAAUAGCAGUAAACUGGUCCAGCACUAAGAUCUUUUUUGUAGGUUAAAGUCUCUGCCAAGUUAACCAGACUUAAAUAUUAUUUGGGGAUGGUUCCUUGCUUUGAUGUUGAAUUUGCAUUAAUAUUUCUGAAGGACUGAAAAAAAAAAGGCCAGAAUGUAUCUUUUCCAUUUGUUUCCAGCAAGGAAUUUCUGUCUAGAUCACAUUUUAACAUGGAAGCAGGACAACAAUAUACUUGUACUGAAAAUCUUGCCCUGGAUUUAGGGGUGGGCAGCGCUUUGCGAGUGCAGAAUCGGAGUAGGGCUCUUGUCCUGUUUCGCAUGGCGAUGCUUAGAGAUGUGGAUACUUCGAGGUGAGUUUGCUUGUGAGACUGCAAAUUCUGAUCCUUUUCCCUCAGAUGGAAUAACAAGCAACAGGUCUUCAGGUGGAGACCCUUAUGGAAAUCUAGCCCCCUCUUGUGGUUUUCCCACAUGGAAGGCAUGACUCGAUUCCCCCAUGUGUCUGAAUAACUGACCUCAGAUGGCAUCAGCUUAAACAGCGCUGACCGAAAUUGAGAAGUCAGUUGUAUAGAGUGUAGUGUGACAGGCAGAGAGCUUUAAGACAGUACAGAGCUCAGUGGUCGUGAAUGCUGUUUGCUGCACUCCUGAUGCUUCCUUCUGCCCUGGGCCAAAGGACAAGCCCAGACCUCAGCUGGGACAAGGAAUUUGCGACUACAUCGUUUACGGAGAAGGAAGGUGAAAGGUUUUGGAGUGGUAGAGCAGUUUGUUGAAGCAGUGGGAAGCAGCUCUUCAGACUCGGCAUCAGCAGUGCUGCUAAUGCCAUGCAGAGGAGAAAGCAAUGAUAAAAAAUGCUUGUUAUUUUGAUAAAAUAGCAUUUUCGGUAUUGAAGAGGCAAUAUUUUUGUUCCAUCUGUGUUUCACGAAUAGAGAAAGAGAUGCCCCGAAGCAUCUGAAUGGUAAUCUAUGAUACAGUUUGAGCUCUCUUCUGACAUAGUACAUGUACCAACACGUGGACUCAUUUGCAACUAACACCAUAUUGUCAGGAUGCAAUAUGUUACGUAGCGGUGGCAUUUCCCCAUUAGUGUCUCCUUUUGAUACUGAUCAGAAAUCUGGAAGGAUCUAAAUUACUUGAACGAAACUUUUAAAGUAUGAACAAAAUCUAGAGGAGUUGGUACCAUCCUACACUGAGAUAUUGCUGUGCUUUCCUUCUGAAAAGGGUAUUUGCCUGUUAAAAGUAAAAUUUGAGGUGACCUAUUCAGAAAGAGAUGUAGAAUGACUUGCAAGGCAUUAAAAGCUGGGUUUGGAAGCACUAUAAAGAAAGUUUUGCUAUCCAACAAAGCUUUUUUAAGUACAUACAAGAAAAUACAGCCACAAGCUAACUACCUCAGAUACUGAAUUGACUGCUGAUGGUGAAAAGAGUGUUUGUGGAUGGGGUAGUCGCUAAGAAUUGUAUAAUGAAAGUCAUUGAAGAGGUAUGUCCGGAAAAGAAAACAUCCAUAAUGUCAUUUUUCUGCCAGUACAACCGCCAGACUGACAAAGGGAGUGGGAAUUUGUUUUUACAGCUCAAGAAAAGAGCAAGACCUUCAAAUGGUUUUCAUUAAUACAGUGUGUGAAUACCAAUAUUUCAAACAUAGCAAAACUUUUGAUUUCAGAUCAAGGACCUGGUGCAGUAUUAUUGUGGUGUUUGCUAUGUUUCAGAAUAUGACGGGGAAAAAACACUACCAGAUACAUUUUUCUCAAGUGUAAGAAAAAAUUAAACUUGCCUCUGUUGUAAUCUGAAAACUGUGAAGUGCUGUGAUAUAGGGGAAGCAACCAGAGCUCGCAUCCUGCCUAUUGCAAAGAAGUGCAGCAGUAAAUAUGAAACUCUCUCCACUGGAUACGGCAACUGCAAUCUUAGCACGGUACAAUUUGGCUGUGGUGAUCCGUUAUGAAUGCCACUUCUGACCUGCAUUUAUUUAAUCCAGAAGUAUAGCCUAAAUCGCUGCAUUUGUCACCAAAACCUUUUCAGUUUAGAAUUUAGUAACAUUUUACACUGCAGUGUGGUGUGAUUGAUCCCUGGGAUUAGAGCUCUGAGCCAGGAUGGCAUUGACCUUUCUAAGCGUGACACAACAACUCUAUUUUCCUGACAGAACACCAGAUGCCUAAGCCCAAGUGGGUUUGACAGUCAGGGGCUCAGAGUUUUGGCUUUGUGAGCUAUUUCCUGACAUUUAUGCUUUUCAGUCAAAAUUAUGGAUAUUUUAUGAGGCUGCUCAAAACCACACCUCAAUUCAUACCUCCUUGCUGGCAAAGAUGGGUUUGAAAAUACAAAAUCACAAUGCCACAUUCUGCAAAUAAAUUGAUUGGGACCUUAGAGUACUUUCCUACAAAAUUCCAAGAGCAAUUUCAAGUCAUCCUUGGUCGUGCCAAGGAGAUUGCUCUGCCAAAAUCUAUAUGAAGUAUAUAAUCACAAGGCCCAUUUCACGCAUCGGUUGAAUUUAGCAGUCAUAAGCAAACAGCCCAUGAAAGGUACGUACAAACUAAGCAAUCUCACUGUGGGCUUCCAAAGAUCUUUAAAUUCUUUUGCAGGUGUCCAUUAUAGUCCUUAAUGAUCAUCUUGGCAGUACCUGGGACUGGACAGGCUCAAUUGAAAGAAUGUUUUCUUUGAUUUCAAUUAUUAGACAGAUACUGUCAACCAUGGGGGGAAAGUUAUCUAAUUUUAUGGUGUUAAAUUCUUGGUCAUAAAAAUGGACAGAGUCUUCUCAAGGUGCAACAUCACCAACGUAAAAAAUUCUAACACUGAGGGUGUGCAACUUUUCCCCCUGCAGUUACAAAUGGGCACUGUAUUUUCAUAAAGUCUGCCUUUACUAUUUAUAAUUUUAUUAUUCCUUUAAUAGUCAAGUUUAUAAGUAAUUCAGCCUUUGAUAACACUCAAAUAAGAAACUUACAUGAACAAAAAUCCUCUCAAAAUUAACUGAAGUUUAUAUGAGCAAGAACUGCUGCAACCUAGCUCCUAAUCUGUACCAUAUGUUGGCAUGCUUCCUUCUUGGAAGUGUCAUUUCGCUUUGCUUCCAGUAGUUAACAUUACUUUGACAGAAGAAAAUGAUAAGAGGCCAUAGAUAGGAGACCUAAUG